rnacentral:tRNA from 1 species
GUCCCUAUAGUUUAACUGGAUAAAACCGCCGCCUCCUAAGCGGCUGCUCCCAGUUCGAGUCUGGGUGGGGACAUCA